rnacentral:rRNA from 1 species
AGGGUUCGAUUCUGGCUCAGGAUGAACGCUAGCGACAGGCUUAACACAUGCAAGUCGAGGGGCAGCACGGGAGUAGCAAUACUUGGUGGCGACCGGCGCACGGGUGAGUAACGCGUAUGCAACCUACCUAUCAGAGGGGAAUAACCCGGCGAAAGUCGGACUAAUACCGCAUAAAACAGGGGCACCGCAUGGUGAUAUUUGUUAAAGAAAUUCGCUGAUAGAUGGGCAUGCGUUCCAUUAGGUAGUUGGUGAGGUAACGGCUCACCAAGCCGACGAUGGAUAGGGGAACUGAGAGGUUGGUCCCCCACACUGGUACUGAGACACGGACCAGACUCCUACGGGAGGCAGCAGUGAGGAAUAUUGGUCAAUGGGCGGGAGCCUGAACCAGCCAAGUCGCGUGAAGGAAGAAGGAUCUAUGGUUCGUAAACUUCUUUUGCAGGGGAAUAAAGUGCAGGACGUGUCCUGUUUUGUAUGUACCCUGAGAAUAAGGAUCGGCUAACUCCGUGCCAGCCGCAGC